CCCAGCUCUGGCUCGGGCUCGCCGCGCUGGCGUUAGCUCGGGCUGUAAUCCCGCUCCGCUCUCGGCCGUUGCACAGACAGAGCAAACGGCCCAAGGAGACUCGGCCGAGCCGGGAAACUUUUCCCGGAACCCUAUCCGGCCCGGGGCCGCUCGGGAUCUGAGAAUCCGAAGCCUGAGAAGGGGCUGAAGUCUAGGGGGAGAAACUGUUAUCUAGAGGAGAGAGAACUGUGAGAAUAUCUGCUUUGGAUUGCCUUUGGAAUUCUGACACUCAUUUUGUAACUGCUCGAAUCCCUGUGUUUCCACAAAGCCUCCAGCGGUUAGUAGUAACGCAGCGUCGGUACAUAGUUAUGAAUGCUUCAUUCAGAAGUCUGCCAAGCAAAUUUUGCCUUGAUGAGGUCAUGUUGCCCUGUUCCGGUCCCACCUGCCUGUUUUUGCUGCACUGGCACCAUCACUGCUGAGUGGAAAUAUAUCUGCCACCCCCCUCAGCUCCUCCACAGGGCUUUUUACAUAGCAGGUGUUCAAUCAAUAUUAAAAUGAAUGAACGUGUUUAUUGGA